UUUAACUGAGCGUUCAGUUACUUGACGUAGACCCGAAACCGGGCGACCUACCCAUGAGCAGGAUGAAGCGAAAGUAAAAUUUCGUGGAGGUCCGAACCCACGAGCGUUGAAAAGCUCGGGGAUGACUUGUGGGUAGCGGUGAAAUUCCAAUCGAGCCCGGAGAUAGCUGGUUCUCCCCGAAAUAGCUUUAGGGCUAGCCUCAAGGUGAGAGAUACGGAGGUAGAGCACUGAAUGUCCUAGGGGGUAUUGCACCUACCGAAGACUAUCAAACUCCGAAUGCCGUCAUCUUAUACUUGGGAGUCAGACUGUGGGUGAUAAGAUUCAUAGUCGAAAGGGCAACAGCCCAGAUCGUCAGCUAAGGUCCCUAAAUGUAAGUUAAGUGGUAAAGGAUGUGGGAUUGCACAGACAACCAGGAUGUUGGCUUAGAAGCAGCCACUCAUUCAAAGAGUGCGUAAUAGCUCACUGGUCGAGUGAUCCUGCGCCGAAGAUUUCCGGGGCUAAAACUUACUACCGAAGCUACGGCAUCAGUAAUGAUGGGUAGGGGAGCUUCCCAUACGGGUUGAAGCAUGACCGUAAGGACAUGUGGACAGUAUGGGAGUGAGAAUGUUGGCAUGAGUAGCGAGAUGUGGGUGAGAAUCCCACAGGCCGUAAACCCAAGGUUUCCAGGGGAAGGUUCGUCCGCCCUGGGUUAGUCGGGACCUAAGCUGAGGCCGAAAGGCGUAGGUGAUGGACAACAGGUUGAUAUUCCUGUACUACCGAUAACCAUUUGAGAGAAGGGAUGACACAGUAGGAUAAGCUAAGCACACUGUUGGUUAUGUGUGCCCAAGCAUUGAGGCAGUCAAAGUAGGCAAAUCCGCUUUGAUAAUGCUGGGAUGUGAUGGGGAGCGAAAUUUAGUAGCGAAGUAGCUGAUUUCACACUGUCAAGAAAAGUCUCUAUCGAGGUUAAAGGUACCCGUACCGCAAACCGACACAGGUGGGUGAGGAGAGUAUCCUAAGGCCAGCGAGAGAACUGUUGUUAAGGAACUCGGCAAAAUGACCCCGUAACUUAGGGAUAAGGGGUGCCACCAUCAGGUGGCCGCAGAGAAUAGGCCCAAGCGACUGUUUACCAAAAACAUAGGUUUCUGCUAAGUCGCAAGACGAUGUAUAGGAGCUGACGCCUGCCCGGUGCUGGAAGGUUAAGGGGAUCUGUUAGAGCAAUCGAAGCAGUGAACUUAAGCCCCAGUAAACGGCGGCCGUAACUAUAACGGUCCUAAGGUAGCGAAAUUCCUUGUCGGGUAAGUUCCGACCCGCACGAAAGGCGUAACGAUUUGGGCACUGUCUCAACAACAGACUCGGUGAAAUUGUAAUUCCGGUGAAGAUGCCGGAUACCUGCGACAGGACGGAAAGACCCCAUGGAGCUUUACUGUAGCUUGACAUUGGGUCUUGGUACUACAUGUACAGGAUAGGUGGGAGGCUUUGAAACCAGGACGCCAGUUUUGGCGGAGCCAUCCUUGGGAUACCACCCUUGUAGUACUGGGACUCUAACCAUAGGCCAUGAAUCUGGUCUUGGGACACUGUCAGGUGGGCAGUUUGACUGGGGCGGUCGCCUCCCAAAAGGUAACGGAGGCGCUCAAAGGUUCUCUCAGUACGGUCGGAAAUCGUACGUAGAGUGUAAAGGCAAAAGAGAGCUUGAUUGCAAGACAUACAGGUCGAGCAAGGAUGAAAAUCGGACUUAGUGAUCCGGUGGUUCUGCGUGGAAGGGCCAUCGCUCAACGGAUAAAAGCUACCCUGGGGAUAACAGGCUUAUCUCCCCCAAGAGUCCACAUCGACGGGGAGGUUUGGCACCUCGAUGUCGGCUCAUCACAUCCUGGGGCUGUAGUAGGUCCCAAGGGUUGGGCUGUUCGCCCAUUAAAGUGGUACGCGAGCUGGGUUCAGAACGUCGUGAGACAGUUCGGUCCCUAUCCGUCGCAGGCGUAGGAAAUUUGAGAAGACCUGUCCUUAGUACGAGAGGACCGGGAUGGACG
rnacentral:rRNA from 1 species